rnacentral:rRNA from 1 species
AGUAGUACGCACCAGCCCGAUCGUAACGUCAAGAGUCAGUCCACUGACUGAACCGGUCGUCUACGAAGCAGCAGUGGGAAUUGGCCAUUGGCCAGCUGAUCAGCAUGCCGAGUUAGAAGAAGGUCUUCGAUGUAAAGUACUUUCAGUGGAGGAGGCAUGACUAAUACUACAGUGAUGACGUACUGGCAGAAGAAGCACCUGCUACUUCUGUGCAAGCAGCCGCGUAAUACCGAGGGUGCAGCGUAUCGGAUUACUGGGCGUAAAGCGCGCACGUCAGGUGGUCUGUCAAGUCGAAGGUGAAAUCCCCCAGGCUUCAACCUUGGGAACUGCAAUCCAAAACGGCCAGCCAAGAGUCUGUAGGAGGGGGGUGGAAUUUCCAGUGGUAGCGGGGAAAUGCGAAAAGAUAGAAAGGACUACAGUGGGGGAAGGGGCCCCCCUGAACAAUAACUGCCGCUCAGGUGGGAAAGCGUGGGGACCAACAAGGAUAGGAUACCUUGUUAUUCCACCCGGUAAACAUGUCAGAUUGGGAGGUGGAUCCCUGAAGUAGUGGUGUCGGGAGUUAACGCGUUAAUUGGCCCCCCUGGGGAGUAGGCCGCCAAGGUUAAAAUUAAAAGAAAUGGAGGGGGGCCCCCCCAAGGGGGGGGCCAUGUGGUUAAUUUGGAGCCACCGGGAGAAACCUUCCAUACUCUUGCCUUCCAGAGAAUUUAGCAGAGAAGAUUGGGGCCUUUGGGGACAUUUAAACCAGGGGUGCCAGGGCGUUGUUCAGUUCGGUUUUGGAAAUGUGGGGUUAAUUCCCGCAACGAGCGCAACCUUUUCCUUUGUUACCCACAGGUAAUGCCGGGCACUCAAAGGAGACUGCCAGUGACAAACCGGAGGAAGGUGGGGAUGACGUCAAGUCAUCAUGGCCCUUACGACUAGGGCUACACACGUGCUACAAUGGCAGAUACAAAGGGAAGCCACCUCGCGAGAGCAAGCGGACCUCACAAAGUAGGUCGUAGUCCGGAUCGCAGUCUGCAACUCGACUCCGUGAAGUCGGAAUCGCUAGUAAUCGUAAAUCAGAAUGUCGCGUAAUUGACCCUUCAAA